CAGCCGCCCCGGCCGCGCAUGCGCCGCGCCCCUGCGCAGAAGGGCGGGAGGAGCCCCGCGCAGGCGCGGAGCCCGCAGGGAAGCGGGAGAAGGAGAGUGCGGGAUGUGCGGACAAUGCUAAGAGCCCAGCCUGCAAGGAAUUGAGGAAACAAUACCCAUAUUUUGAAGUUAAUUAUAUUUUGGAGACCCAGACAUCUUCCAGAUGCUGAAAGAGCCGGUUGUCAUCUGUUGUUUCUGGACAGUUUCUCAGCAGCAGUCGCUGCUAUCGCACCACUACACACACCCUGCUCCGAAACCUGCGCAGAGACCUCGAUCCCAGAAACCAGGAAGCAGCUGCUGUAAAAACCCCAGCAUUGCCCUCUAGCGUUUAUUGGAAGCUGCGAGGUGCUUAACCGAACUUUUUAAUUAAACUCAAAAGGUUUCCUGGGCUCAAACCCCAAAGGUGAAGGCUUUAACUAAGCCCAGCAAUGCCCCUUACCCAUCCUCUGUGCAGGACAGUGGGCAUCAGACAGAUGGAACUCAAUUUUUGUGUCUUUCCCACACAGUUGCAUGUAAUUUUUAGGUCAGUCCUUGCUGGGACACACAGAAGGUUGGCUUUGCUUGUCCUUUACACACUGGCUGUAAAGAUUGAGAGCACACAAGUGGCACCUCCUCAUCAUACUAAAUGUUGAUAAAGUAGAAGAUUCAGGCAAAUAGCAUGUUCUACCCCAGCAUCUAAGAGAGAGGGGGAGAUGCAACAACAGUUCACACUGUUGGUUUUACAAGAAAAUAGUUGGUUUUACAGGAGUAUUCCCUGUAACAGUGUUCCCUAACAACAGGAGCUGUAUAUCUCCAAGCCACUGGAGUCUCUGGAAAGAUGCAGUGGGGCCCAUUUCCUGCUCUAUGUCAUGUAUUAGAAAAAAAUCUCCUGGCCUGUGUGUUUGCAUACCACCUUUCAUCAAAGUGGCCUCCUGCAAUGCAUUUUGAUCUACUCCACACAUCACAGUCAGUAGCAACC